rnacentral:tRNA from 2 species
UGGGAGUUUAGCUCAGCUGGGAGAGCAUCUGCCUUACAAGCAGAGGGUCAGCGGUUCAAUCCCGUUAACUCCCAU